rnacentral:rRNA from 1 species
AUGAGGGCCAUCUCCUUCCCCCAUAUUUCGCCGUUAACCGCGACCUCCCGAGCACCAUGGCCGAGAGCACGAGCUCUUGAUCUGCCCCGCGCCCCGACUACCCCAUGGGCGCCCGGUCCGGCGCCGCCUCUCUGCCCGCGGCCGCGCUACCUCGCACUCAGGUCACUCGCAGCCCAUUCCUACACUGCCACCGCCGGUGUUGUACUGCUGCCACCGGCGAGCUAG